GCCAAAUGAAAUUUAUCUGAUACAGGAGCACUGUAGGGCCAGGACAGCUCAACCUGUUACCCAUGACUGAUAGCU